rnacentral:rRNA from 1 species
AGGGAAACCGAGUCUUAACUGGGCGUUAAGUUGCAGGGUAUAGACCCGAAACCCGGUGAUCUAGCCAUGGGCAGGUUGAAGGUUGGGUAACACUAACUGGAGGACCGAACCGACUAAUGUUGAAAAAUUAGCGGAUGACUUGUGGCUGGGGGUGAAAGGCCAAUCAAACCGGGAGAUAGCUGGUUCUCCCCGAAAGCUAUUUAGGUAGCGCCUCGUGAACUCAUCUUCGGGGGUAGAGCACUGUUUCGGCUAGGGGGUCAUCCCGACUUACCAACCCGAUGCAAACUGCGAAUACCGAAGAAUGUUAUCACGGGAGACACACGGCGGGUGCUAACGUCCGUCGUGAAGAGGGAAACAACCCAGACCGCCAGCUAAGGUCCCAAAGUCACAGUUAAGUGGGAAACGAUGUGGGAAGGCUCAGACAGCCAGGAUGUUGGCUUAGAAGCAGCCAUCAUUUAAAGAAAGCGUAAUAGCUCACUGGUCGAGUCGGCCUGCGCGGAAGAUGUAACGGGGCUAAACUGUGCACCGAAGCUGCGGCAGCGACGCUUAUGCGUUGUUGGGUAGGGGAGCGUUCUGUAAGCCUGCGAAGGUGUCCUGUGAGGGAUGCUGGAGGUAUCAGAAGUGCGAAUGCUGACAUAAGUAACGAUAAUGCGGGUGAAAAGCCCGCUCGCCGGAAGACCAAGGGUUCCUGUCCAACGUUAAUCGGGGCAGGGUGAGUCGACCCCUAAGGCGAGGCCGAAAGGCGUAGUCGAUGGGAAACGGGUUAAUAUUCCCGUACUUGGUGUUACUGCGAAGGGGGGACGGAGAAGGCUAUGUUGGCCGGGCGACGGUUGUCCCGGUUUAAGCGUGUAGGCUGGUUUUCCAGGCAAAUCCGGAA